CUGCUCUCAAGGUUGCACCUGGAGAGUUUUCAGUCCUCUACCAGUCUCGACUAUGGGAGGGAGAGUCAAGCAGAAGUCUACCCAUUCCAUUCCUAGCUUGGGCCGUAGCUAGCGAGUGGAAGGCGAUCUGCCACAAGU